rnacentral:rRNA from 1 species
GAACUUUCCAGAGAUGGAUUGGUGCCUUCGGGAAGUUAGAUACAGGUGCUGCAUGGCUGUCGUCAGCUGGUGUCUUGAGAUGUUGGGUUAAGUCCCGCAACGAGCGCAACCCUUUUCCUUAUUUGCCAGCGGGUAAUCCCGGGAACUUUAAGGAUACUGCCAGUGACAAACUGGAGGAAGGCGGGGAUGACGUCAAGUCAUCAUGGCCCUUACGGCCAGGGCUACACACGUGCUACAAUGGUCGGUACAAAGGGUUGCUACCUCGCGAGAGGAUGCUAAUCUCAAAAAGCCGAUUGUAGUCCGGAUCGCAGUCUGCAACUCGACUGCGUGAAGUCGGAAUCGCUAGUAAUCGCGGAUCAGAAUGCCGCGGUGAAUACGUUCCCGGGCCUUGUACACACCGCCCGUCACACCAUGGGAGUUUGUUGCACCAGAAGUAGGUAGUCUAACCGCAAGGAGGACG